rnacentral:lncRNA from 1 species
ACCAAUGAUGAAAUAAUCCAAAUGUUUGAGAUACGGUGGAUACAAGACCCUGUUUAACAGGGAGAACCACUUGUUUGAAGCUGUAUUUCAUAUGAUAUUACUGGAUUUAACUGAGGUUUUGUUUGUAGAUUUAUAUUUUGACUUAAUGAGUUUAAACUAUACUCUUUGCCGUGAAUAUACAAGGGGCUUGGAGUCUGAAAAAACUCAGAGAUGAAUGUGUUGUCUAUCAGCUUCAUCUUUAGUAAUAUUAACGAGAGUGGAGUUAAAUAACAGCACAACAAUC